rnacentral:tRNA from 1 species
GCCGAGGUAGCUCAGUGGUAGAGCAGCCGAUUCGUAAUCGGCAGGCCGCGAGUUCAACUCUCGCCCUCGGCUCCA